AAGAAGGUACGGAUAGAUGUGGAAGGUAGUAUGGGCCCGUACUACUGAAAGCAGAGGAUCCGUACCCGAACCAAGGAAGGCCAAGAUAAGACCAGGGAACUUGUAAGUAGUUGUGAUCCCUCAGGAAGUAUCAGUAUCACUAAUGAUUGUUGUGAUGUAUUGCAGAAUGGUGGUACUUCGAUCGAGGCCGGUAGAUGGCGGUUCAGGAGAGGGGUCAGGUUCGGGAUCAGGUUCCGAGCCGGUUGAUGAGGGACUACGCGAGUUCAUCGCGUCAGAGAUCACCAGAGGCAUCCUUGAGUCGACCCCCAUUCUCUUUGGGUCGAUCAAGGAAGGGAUCAUGGAGUUGAUGGAGGAUCGCCUUCGGGCAUUCAGGAGUGAUAUGGCAUCUAGCCAGUCAGGAUCUCGCACACUGUCCUUCAAGGACUUCAGGGGCAGUGGUGCGCCGGAUUUCCAUGGGGUGAAAGACCCCAUUGCUGCCAGGCGAUGGAUUGCAGACAUCGAGUCUGCCCAGUUGACUAGCUUCUGCCCCGAGGGGUCGAAGGUGAGGUAUGCAGCAGGAUGUUUACGGGACCGAGCCCGGGAUUGGUGGGAGUCAGUGGGUGACUCGUUGGGAGCCUCAGCUAUCGAGGCGAUGACCUGGUCGGACUUUGUGACCAGGUUCAGGGCAGAGUUUGCGCCGGCUGUCGAGCUUCAGCAGCUGGCCAGGGAGUUUCUAGACAUGAGGCAGACGACGGAGACUGUGGCGGAGAUCACCGCCAAGUUCCGGGAGAGGGCUUUGUUGGUGCCCCAGUAUGCUGGUGACGAGGACAUGAGGAGGACUCGUUAUCAUGAUAUGCUACGAGCUGACAUCCGGGAGCAUGUUAGCUUUUCGGCUUGCCCUACCUUGGACUCUAUGAUUGCCAGGGCGAGGGAGAGGGAGAUAGAUUUGGAGCACAUCCGGAAACGGAAAUUAGAGGAGGGACAGGCAGGAGGGGCUUCGGGGAAGAAGCCCAAGGGAUCAGAUGCGGGGCCGAAAGGCCAACAGGGACGGGGACGCUGCAGGAAAUGCGGCAAGGCGCACGAGGGAGCGUGCAGGAUGGGAUCAUCAGGCUGCUAUAAGUGCGGCAAGUCUGGGCACAUCAGCAGGGAUUGCACUGCUCCGGCAGCAGUUAUUCAGACAUCAGAGUUGCUAUGUUUCCACUGCAACCAGAGGGGCCACAAGAAGGCCAAUUGCCCCCAGUUGACAGUUUCAGCGCCGGUGAAGGCGCCAGCUCCAGCGACCCUGCGGAUCACGGAUGGCCGGCAGGGCAAGGCAGAGGCUCCAGUGGUGAGGAGCCGAGCAUUUCAGCUGACUACCGAGGAGGCACGCGCCGCACCCGAUGUGGUGACGGGUAUGAUUCUUUCCCUCUAUCUUAUUUUUAUGAUGUUAUGUUAUUGAUAUGUGCUCUGUAUGUAUAUGUAUGCAUUAGGAUCGUUCCAUGUGAACGGCCUCCCAGUUCAGGUGUUAUUUGAUUCGGGUGCAUCCCGAUCAUUCGUUUCCCUUGCGCUUAGCAAGAAGUUUCAUGAGUCAUCAGGCGAGUUAGAUUGCCCUUUGGAGGUGGAGAUUGCUGAUGAUCGAUCGGUGCGAGCAUCGAUGGUAUUUCGAGAUUGCGUGCUGCGUUUGUUUGAGGAGCGCUACUUGGUAGAUUUGGUUCCCAUUCCGUUGCGUGGGAACAAGGUGAUUAUAGGCAUGGAUUGGCUGAGCCCUAAUGGGGCGGUGAUAGAUUGCGCGCAGCAGCUAGUGCGGGUCAGGACCCCAAGCGGGGGAGAGUUAGUGAUUCAUGGUGAGAGGCCCCAGUAUGGACCCGCUGUAUGUUCAGCAGCGAGGGCUAGGCGCUACCUUCAGCAGGGAUGCGCAGGAUAUGUCGCGUAUGUGAUGGAUACCCGGGAGGCGGGUAAGGCGACAGUGAGCGAGGUUCCGGUGGUCCGAGACUUUGCAGAUGUUUUCCCAGAGGAGCUUCCUGGGAUACCUCCGGAGCGACAGGUGGAGUUCAGGAUUGACCUUGUUCCUGGUGCGGCUCCGAUAGCCAAGGCACCGUAUCGGUUGGCUCCUCCCGAGAUGCAGGAGUUGUCUACGCAGCUGCAGGAGCUGCUAGACAAGGGGUUUAUUCGUCCGAGCAGUUCGCCCUGGGGAGCCCCGAUUCUGUUUGUGAAGAAGAAGGACGGGUCGCAUCGGAUGUGUAUAGAUUAUCGGGAGCUGAACAAGGUAACGGUGAAGAACCGUUACCCGCUUCCGAGGAUUGAUGACCUCUUUGACCAGCUUCAGGGAGCAUCUUGGUUCUCCAAGAUUGAUUUGCGUUCGGGUUAUCAUCAGAUGAGGGUCAGGGAGGAGGAUAUGCAGAAGACCGCGUUUCGGACGCGCUAUGGCCAUUAUGAGUUCGUGGUGAUGCCGUUUGGGCUCACCAAUGCUCCUGCCGCGUUCAUGGACCUCAUGAACCGCGUAUGCAGACCGAUGCUGGAUCGGUCUGUGAUAGUCUUUAUCGAUGACAUCUUGGUUUAUUCCAAGACUCGGGAGGAACAUGAGGAGCAUCUGAGAGAGGUGUUGGAGACCCUGAGGAGGGAGAGCUUGUAUGCCAAGUUCUCCAAGUGUGAGUUUUGGUUGCGCGAGGUGCAAUUUCUUGGACACCUCGUCAACCAGAACGGGAUUCUGGUCGAUCCGGCCAAGGUCGAGGCCGUGAUGAGAUGGGAGGUUCCGAAGUCUCCAUCUGAGAUUCGGAGUUUCCUGGGAUUGGCAGGCUACUAUCGGAGAUUUAUCCAGGAUUUCUCCAAGAUAGCCGUGCCCCUGACGCGGCUGACGAAGAAAGCCGUGGUCUUUCGGUGGGGGCCCGAGCAGCAGGCUGCAUUUGAGACGCUGAGACAGAGAUUGUGUGAGGCGCCGAUCUUAGCCCUGCCAGAGGGCGUAGAGGAUUUUGUGGUUUAUUGUGAUGCGUCCAUUUCUGGGUUGGGCGCGGUACUGAUGCAGAGGGGGCAUGUCAUUGCCUACGCUUCGAGGCAGCUCAAGCCUCACGAGGCGAACUACCCGACGCAUGAUUUGGAGUUGGGGGCGGUGGUUUUUGCCCUCAAGAUUUGGCGACAUUACCUCUACGGGGUUCGAUGUACCAUCUACACGGACCACAAGAGUUUGAGGUACCUCAUGGAUCAGCCGAAUCUGAACAUGAGGCAGCGUCGGUGGUUGGAUGUGGUGAAGGAUUAUGAUUGCGAGAUCCUUUACCACCCGGGGAAGGCCAAUGUGGUGGCCGAUGCGCUUAGCCGCAAGACGGCGCCGAUCAGGGACGUUUGCAUGAGGAUGACCGUGGUGACUCCCCUGUUGGAGCAGAUUCGGGAGGCUCAACAGGAGGCUAUCAAGGAGGAGCAUCGGAAGAGCGAGCGUGUGGUGGGUCAGGUUUCCUCCUUUGAUUAUGAUAGCCGAGGACUUUUGACACUACACCGUAGGGUGUGGGUGCCGUAUCACGGAGGCGUGCGCCAGAUUUUGAUGGAGGAGGCGCACAAGUCCCGAUUCUCUAUUCAUCCCGGGGCGACGAAGAUGUAUAGGGAUCUUCGUCUAGACUAUUGGUGGCCCUGCAUGAAGCGGGAUGUGGCAUGGUACGUCGAGCGGUGUUUGACCUGCAGGAAGGUCAAGGCCGAACAUCAGAGGCCGCAUGGCAAGAUGCAGCCGUUGGACAUUCCACUGUGGAAGUGGGAAGAUAUCACGAUGGAUUUUAUCACGAAGCUUCCCAGGACCGCACGUGGAGUGGAUUCGAUUUGGGUCAUCGUGGAUAGAUUGACCAAGAGUGCUCACUUUAUUCCGAUUCAGGAGAGCAUAUCGGCCGAGAAAUUGGCCGACAUCUAUAUCAGGGAGAUUGUGGCACGGCAUGGGGUGCCAGUAUCGGUGAUCUCGGACAGGGAUGUGCGUUUUACUUCCAGGUUUUGGAAGAGAUUCCAUGACGAGUUGGGCACUCGUCUGCAUUUCAGCACCGCCUUUCACCCGCAGACAGAUGGACAGAGUGAGCGGACCAUCCAGACUUUGGAGGACAUGUUGCGGGCGUGUGUUCUGGAUUUCGGUGGUAGCUGGGAUACCUAUCUUCCUUUGGCUGAGUUCUCCUACAACAACAGCUAUCACGCGAGUAUCGACCGCCCUCCCUUCGAGAUGUUGUACGGACGGAGGUGUAGGACCCCGAUAUGCUGGGGUGAGGUUGGCCAGAGAGUUAUGGGAAGCACCGAAGUGGUGCUCAAGACGACUGAGAGGAUACAGCAGGUCCGGAGCAGGCUUCAGACUGCUCAGAGUCGACAGAAAAGUUAUGCCGACAAGCGUCGAUCCGAUUUAGAGUUCCAGGUCGGGGAUAUGGUCCUCCUGAAGGUGUCACCGUGGAAAGGCGUCAUCCGAUUCAGGAAGCGGGGCAAGUUGGGCCCGCGAUUCAUCGGACCGUUCAGGGUCUUAGCCCGGGUGGGCAAGGUAGCAUAUAGGCUGGAUCUGCCAGCCGAGCUUAGCCAGAUCCACAGCACUUUCCAUGUUUCGCAGUUGCGGAAGUGCCUAGUGGACGAUUCUGCAGUAGUACCUUUGGAGGAUAUUCAGGUUGAUGACAGCCUGAACUACAUCGAGCGCCCAGUCGCAAUCCUCGACAGGAAGUCGAAGGAUUUAAGGAACAAGAGGGUGGAGCUAGUGAAGGUGCAAUGGCAGCACCGCAAGGGUUCAGAGUGGACUUGGGAGCCGGUAGACGAGAUGAUGGAGCACUACCCCGAGCUGUUUCAGGAUCAGGCAGCAGACUUCGAGGACGAAGUCUAAAAUAAGUGGGGGAGAUUUGUAGCACCUGGUUUCCGGUAUGUGAAUUUUAUUUGAGCAUUGCCCUAAUUUAGCCUUAGACUCGGCGAGUCAUAGGGUCCGACUCGCCGAGUAGGGACGAGACUCAGGACGCGUUUUAAGUAGGCGACUCGACGAGUCCAUAUCCUGGACUCGGCGAGUCACCGCUGCGGGAUGAAACCCUAAGUUUCAAGGGUUUGCACCCUAUUUAAACUCUCAUUCCGCCCCAACUCGUCCCCAUUCACCCCCAGAACUCCCCCUACAUCGUUUUCCCUUGUUUUCUUGAGAGUUUGAGGUGUUCUUGGUGUGUUCUUGAAGGUUUUGAAGAGUAAGAGGAGUAGAUCAAGAAGAGGAGAAGGAGAUCAGCCAUCCUUGUGUCAUUUCAACAUUUCCUUUGAGGUAUAACCCGUUUUCCCCUUGAUUCUAUGCUUAAAACUUCAUUUGGGUCCUUCUUGGUCAAUUCCCCAAGUUUGCAUGUUCAUUAUAUGUUGUAAUAAGGCGUUUGGCCUUUGGAUCUAUGUAAGAUUGAGCUCCAGGAGCUCAGAUCUGUUAGCUUUUUGGCCUCAUGAGGCUUGUUAGCCCUAGAUCUACCAUUUUGAGACAUUUUGAGCCUUAUAAUCCAUAUUGGUGAAUAUCCACACGUAAAGUUGGAAACUUUACGUGUGAUUCGUGUCCUAGAAGUCCAGAUCUAUGAAUGGCAUGGUCUGGAACCGAGCAAAUCGGUAUAUUUAAGGAGUGCAUGGCGACGACUCGGCGAGUCGCAUAGGUGACUCGGCGAGUCUGGUCGCGAGUCACCGAAUUGGUCCCUUCUUCAUGUGUCGAGUUGAGCCUUGAGUCACAGGGGGUGACUCGGUGAGUUGGGAGCUGAACUCACCCAUGUUAGGACUCGGCGAGUCAAUGCCCUGACUCGGCGAGUCCAAGGCAAUCUUCAUAGCUCAAGAACAGACUCGGCGAGUUGUUCAUACAACUCGGCGAGUCUUAGCAUAAAGUGUUCAUCGGAUGAAGAUGAACUCGACGAGUUGUUCAUACAACUCGGCGAGUAGGAUGAAGGUGUUGAAUGGCAGUUAGAAGGUGAACUCGUCGAGUCAUAGCCCGACUCGACGAGUAGAACCAGGGACCCAGGACAUUGGUUUGCUAGGGACUCGGCGAGUGGUGAUCCACUCGGCGAGUCGGGUCAACUGAAAGUUGACUCCAGCUUUGGCUUAGAGUUAAUCCAGGGGUAAAAUGGUCAUUUUACCUAAAGGACAGUUAGCAGUGUUUGAUUGAGUAUGUCGUGGAAAUUGCAGCCGGAGGACUCCCGGAGCAGCAGCAGUCAGUUAGUUCCCGAUCAGUUCAGCAGCUACUUUGAGGUGAGUUACCUUCCAGUAGCGGUGGGUCUAAGGCCACAAUGCCGACCCACCAGUAGGAGUUGUAUGAUAGAUGAUUGUCUUUGUGAUAUCAUCUAAGUUCGCUAGUACCUGACAUGUUAUAUGCUAGCAUGAUAUGCUGUAUGUGAUAGUAGUAGAGUUUGGUUGUUCGGACCGAAGGGUAGUCAGACACCCCAGAUACGUCUGACAGUAUGUGACGAUAUGUAUGCAUGCUGGCUUGUUAUGUUAUAUGUGAUCGUAGUAGUAGGGGUGAAAUAGUCCCCGAGGAUCGGUUGUUAGGACCGAUGGGUAGUCAGCACCCCAGAAUGGCUUGACACGGGUAAGACGGCACCCCAGAAUGGCCGUAUGGGUAGGUCGGCACCCCAGAAUGGCCGUACCGGGUAGUCAGGCACCCCAGAAUAGCCUGGCAGUAUAUAUGUUAUGUGUUUGUAUGGUAUGCGGUACGUUGGGGGAACUCACUAAGCUUUGUGCUUACGUUUACAGUUUUGUUUUCAGGUACCUCUGCAUCGAAGGGGAAGGAGCCGGCGCGGUAGCGGCACGUCAUACACACACUCUUCGGUUUCCGCAUUUAUGAGAUUUACUGGGAUUGUACUCUGAUAUUUGAUGGGAUGUACGGUUUGGCUUUUGAGAACAUGGUUGCAAUGUGUUAUGGUGUGAACAAACAAUGUUUCUUUUUAUUUAGACAAUGUUUUUAUUUAUUAAUGUUUUCUAAAGUAAUAUCAAAAAAAAAAAAAAUUUUGGGUCGUUACAAGUUGGUAUCAGAGCCCUGGUUUGAGGGAUUCGGACACGCCUUCGGGAGUGUUUGGACUCAAACCGAGGGAUUGAAAGAUUUUUCCAAAAGAAAUUAUUCUUUAAAACCCGGAAAAGAGUCACGAGAAAGAGUAAAGUGUGUGACGUGCGCGACCGGCCGAGCUCAAGUAAGUAUUCCCCAUAGUACCCAUACAAGUUUAUGUUAUGUUUAUCAGCUUUAUGAAUAUUGCAUGCUAGAAUAGGCUAAGGAUCUAGGAGUGAUGCCUUAUGUGCCUGUUUAUUUGUUACAGCUUAUUGAAUAUUGCAUGCUAGAAUUGAGUAGACAGCAGUAGGGUAGCCUGUUUAGGUUAUGCCUGAUAGUAUGAGCUUAGCAUCCUAUGUUAAGUGUCGUUUCUUGUUCUAAGAACAGUUUUGGCUUGAGUCUGUUUUUCCUUAUCCGAAUGCUGCUUGCUUCGUGCUCGGUGGGAUUCUGAGUAAUGGGAGUGAGCCACUAGGUAAACACGUCACACCACAUGUAAUCGGGGUUGAAUAAUCCCAAAGUGUUGGAACUGGCCCUAUUGCGCAGCUCUUGUUUGAGUCCAACCGUUGUAGGGACGGGCCUUUUACUUGAAGGAUGAUCUAAUCCUCAUCACAGGUGGUGGUGUUUAGGUGGUGGCUAACUGGCAUUAUGAGGAGACCUACAGCAGCUGAGGACCAGUUGUGUUGAACUUGAGUUCUCCCUAGGGCAAGCCUAGGGUGAGAAUAUCGGAGAGUAGCAGUAGUAGAGGGGAGUUGGUGGAGUCGAGGAAUUCCUCGGAGAAGGUACGGAUAGAUGUGGAAGGUAGUAUGGGCCCGUACUACUGAAAGCAGAGGAUCCGUACCCGAGCCGAGGAAGGCCAAGACGAGACCAAGGAACCUGUAAGUAGUUGAGAUCCCUCAGAAAGUAGCAGUACCACUAAUGAUUAUUAUUGAUGUUUUGCAGAAUGGUGGUACUUCGACCGAGACCGACAGAUGGCGGGUCAGGAGAGGGGUCAGGUUCGGGAUCUGGCACCGAGCCGAUUGAGGAGAGGCUACGUGAGUUCAUCACGUCGGAGAUCACUAGGGGCAUCCUUGAGUCGACCCCCAUCAUCUUUGGGUCGAUCAAGGAAGGGAUCGUGGAGAUGAUGGAGGAUCGCCUACGGGCAUUCAGGAGCGACUUGGCCUCUAGCCAGUCAGGAUCUCGCACACUGUCCUUCAAGGACUUCAGGAGCAGUGGUGCGCCGGAUUUCCAUGGGGUGAAGGACCCCAUUGUCGCCAGGCGGUGGAUUGCGGAUAUCGAGUCCGCCCAGUUGAUCAGCUUCUGCCCCGAGGGGUCGAAGGUGAGGUACGCAGCAGGGUGUUUACGGGACCGGGCCCGAGAUUGGUGGGAGUCAGUGGGUGACUCGAUGGGAGCCUCGGCUAUCGAGGCAAUGACCUGGUCGGACUUUGUGGCUAGGUUCAGGGCAGAGUUUGCGCCAGCGGUCGAGCUUCAGCAGCUGGCCAGGGAGUUCUUAGACAUGAGGCAGACGACAGAGACCGUGGCGGAGAUCACCGCCAAGUUUCGGGAGAGGGCUUUAUUGGUGCCCCAGUAUGCAGGUGACGAGGAUAUGAGGAGGACUCGUUACCAUGAUAUGCUACGAGCUGACAUUCGGGAGCAUGUUAGUUUUUCGGCUUGCCCUACCCUGGACUCCAUGAUUGCCAGGGCUAGGGAGAGAGAGAUAGAUUUGGAGCACAUCCGGAAACGGAAACUUGAGGAUGGUCAGUCAUCGGGGGCUUCGGGGAAGAAGCCCAAGGGAUCAGAUGGGAGGCCGAAAGGCCAGUCGGGACCGAGCCGCUGCAGGAGGUGCGGCAGGCCGCACGAGGGGGCGUGCAGGAUGGGAUCGUCAGGCUGCUACAAGUGCGGCAAGUUUGGGCAUAUCAGCAGGGAUUGCACUGCUCCUGCGACCGUUAUUCAGACAUCGGAGUUGCUGUGUUUCCACUGCAACCAGAGGGGCCACAAGAAGGCCAAUUGCCCCAUGUUGACAGCUUCAGCGCCAGUGAAGGCGCCAGCUCCAGCGACCCUGCGGAUCACGGAUGGCCGUCAGGGCAAGGCAGAGGCUCCAGUGGUGAGGAGUCGGGCAUUUCAGUUGACUGCCGAGGAGGCACGCGCCGCGCCCGAUGUGGUGACGGGUAUGAUUCCUUCCUUCUAUCUUUUAUUUUACGUUGUUAUGAUAUUGAUAUGUGCUCCGUGUGUAUACAUGUGUAUUAGGAUCGUUCCAUGUGAACGGCAUCCCGGUUCAGGUAUUGUUCGACUCGGGUGCAUCCCGAUCGUUCGUUUCUCUUGCUCUUAGCAAGAGAUUUCAUGAGACUUCAGGCGAGUUAGAUUGCCCGUUAGAGGUAGAGAUUGCCGAUGAUCGAUCGGUGCGAGCAUCGAUGGUGUUUCGAGAUUGUGUCCUGCGACUGUUUGAGGAGUGUUACCUGGUAGACUUGGUUCCCAUUCCAUUGCGUGGGAACAAGGUGAUUAUUGGUAUGGAUUGGUUGAGCCCUAAUGGGGCAGUGAUAGAUUGCGCACAGCAGCUAGUGCGAGUCAAGACCCCAAGCGGGGGAGAGUUAGUGAUUCAUGGAGAGCGGCCGCAGUGUGGACCCACUGUAUGUUCAGCAGCGAGGGCUAGGCGCUACCUUCAGCAGGGAUGCGCGGGUUAUGUCGCGUACGUGAUGGACACCCGGGAGGCGGGUAAGGCGACCGUGAGCGAGGUCCCGGUGGUUCGAGAUUUUGCUGAUGUUUUUCCGGAGGAACUACCUGGGAUACCUCCGGAGCGACAGGUGGAGUUCAGGAUUGACCUCGUUCCCGGUGCGGCUCCGAUAGCCAAAGCACCGUAUCGGUUGGCUCCUCCCGAGAUGCAGGAGUUGUCUACGCAGCUGCAGGAGCUGCUGGACAAGGGAUUUAUUCGGCCGAGCAGUUCGCCCUGGGGAGCCCCGAUUCUGUUUGUGAAGAAGAAGGAUGGGUCGCAUCGGAUGUGUAUAGAUUAUCGGGAGCUGAACAAGGUAACGGUGAAGAACCGUUACCCGCUUCCGAGGAUUGAUGACCUCUUUGACCAGCUUCAGGGCGCAUCUUGGUUCUCCAAGAUUGAUUUGCGUUCGGGUUAUCAUCAGAUGAGGGUCAGGGAGGAGGAUAUGCAGAAGACCGCGUUUCGGACGCGCUAUGGCCAUUACGAGUUUGUGGUGAUGCCGUUUGGGCUCACCAAUGCUCCUGCCGCGUUCAUGGACCUCAUGAACCGUGUAUGCAGACCGAUGCUGGACCGGUCUGUGAUAGUCUUUAUCGAUGAUAUCUUGGUUUAUUCCAAGACCCGGGAGGAACAUGAGGAGCAUUUGAGAGAGGUGUUAGAGACCCUGAGGAGGGAGAGCUUGUAUGCCAAGUUCUCCAAGUGUGAGUUUUGGUUGCGCGAGGUGCAAUUUCUGGGGCACCUCGUCAACCAGAACGGGAUUCUGGUCGAUCCGGCCAAGGUCGAGGCCGUGAUGAGAUGGGAGGUUCCGAAGUCCCCAUCUGAGAUUCGGAGCUUCCUAGGAUUGGCAGGCUACUAUCGGAGAUUUAUCCAGGAUUUCUCCAAGAUAGCCGUGCCCCUGACGCGGCUGACGAAGAAAGCCGUGGUCUUUCGGUGGGGACCCGAGCAGCAGGCUGCAUUUGAGACGCUGAGACAGAGAUUGUGUGAGGCGCCGAUCUUAGCCCUGCCAGAGGGCGUAGAGGAUUUCGUGGUUUAUUGCGAUGCGUCCAUUUCUGGGUUGGGCGCGGUGCUGAUGCAAAGGGGGCAUGUCAUUGCUUACGCUUCGAGGCAGCUCAAGCCUCACGAGGCGAACUACCCGACGCACGAUUUGGAGUUGGGGGCGGUGGUAUUUGCCCUCAAGAUUUGGCGACAUUACCUCUAUGGGGUUCGGUGUACCAUCUACACGGACCACAAGAGCUUGAGGUACCUCAUGGACCAGCCGAAUCUGAACAUGAGGCAGCGUCGGUGGUUGGAUGUGGUGAAGGAUUAUGAUUGCGAGAUCCUUUACCACCCGGGAAAGGCCAAUGUGGUGGCCGAUGCGCUUAGCCGCAAGACGGCGCCGAUCAGGGACGCCUGUUUGAGGAUGACUGUGGUGACUCCCCUGUUGGAGCAGAUUCGGGAAGCUCAACAGGAGGCUAUCAAGGAGGAGCAUCGGAAGAACGAGCGCGUAGUAGGUCAGGUUUCCUCCUUCGAUUAUGAUAGCCGAGGGUUAUUGACACUACACCAUAGGGUGUGGGUGCCGUAUCACGGGGGCGUGCGCCAGAUUUUGAUGGAGGAGGCGCACAAGUCCCGAUUCUCUAUUCAUCCCGGGGCGACGAAGAUGUAUAGGGAUCUUCGUCUAGACUAUUGGUGGCCCUGCAUGAAGCGGGAUGUGGCAUGGUACGUCGAGCGGUGCUUGACCUGCAGGAAGGUCAAGGCCGAACAUCAGAGGCCGCAUGGCAAGAUGCAGCCGUUGGACAUUCCACUGUGGAAGUGGGAAGAUAUCACGAUGGAUUUUAUCACGAAGCUUCCCAGGACCGCGCGUGGAGUGGAUUCGAUUUGGGUCAUCGUGGAUAGAUUGACCAAGAGUGCUCAUUUUAUUCCGAUUCAGGAGAGCAUAUCGGCCGAGAAAUUGGCCGACAUCUAUAUCAGGGAGAUCGUGGCACGGCACGGGGUGCCGGUAUCGGUGAUCUCGGACAGGGAUGUGCGUUUUACUUCCAGAUUUUGGAAGAGAUUCCAUGACGAGUUGGGCACUCGUCUGCAUUUUAGCACUGCCUUUCACCCGCAGACGGAUGGCCAGAGCGAGCGGACCAUCCAGACUCUGGAGGAUAUGUUGCGGGCGUGCGUGCUAGACUUCGGUGGUAGCUGGGAUACCUAUCUUCCCCUGGCCGAGUUCUCAUACAACAACAGCUACCACGCGAGUAUUGAUCGUCCUCCAUUUGAGUUGUUGUACAGACGAAGGUGCAAGACCCCGAUAUGCUGGGGUGAAGUUGGCCAGAGAGUCAUAGGGAGCACCAAGUGGUGCUCAAGACGGCCGAGAGGAUUCAGCAGGUCCGGAGCAGGCUUCAGACUGCUCAGAGUCGGCAGAAAAGUUACGCCGACAAGCGUUGAUCCGACUUGGAGUUUCAAGUCGGGGAUAUGGUUCUCCUGAAGGUGUCGCCUUGGAAAGGCGUCAUCCGAUUCAGGAAGCGGGGCAAGUUGGGCCCGAGGUUCAUCGGACCGUUCAGGGUUGUAGCCCGGGUGGGCAAGGUGGCGUAUAGGUUGGAUCUGCCAGCCGAGCUCAGCCAGAUCCACAGCACUUUCCAUGUCUCUCAGCUGCGAAAGUGCUUAGUGGACAAUUCAGCGGUAGUGCCGUUGGAGGAUAUUCAGGUUGAUGACAGCCUGAAUUACAUUGAGCGCCCAGUCGCAAUCCUCGACAGGAAGUCGAAGGAUUUGAGGAACAAGAGGGUGGAGCUAGUGAAGGUGCAAUGGAAGCACCGCAAGGGUUCGGAAUGGACUUGGGAGCCGGUGGACGAGAUGAGGGAGCAUUACCCCGAGCUGUUUCAGGAUCGAGCAGCAGACUUCGAGGACGAAGUCUAAAAUAACUGGGGGAGAUUUGUAGCACAUGAUUCCUGGUAUGUAUUCUUGGUUAUUAAAUCCCCUUAUUUUGCAUAAUUAGCCUUAGACUCAGCGAGUUGAAGGACGGACUCGCCGAGUAGAAGCGGGACUAGACGCGGGAUCUACUCGGUCUACUCGGCGAGUAGGUCCGAUGGACUCGACGAGUAGACCUUGUUUGGACUUAAAUCCUAACCCGGGUGUUUGCACCCUAUUUAAUCUAUCUAACCCAGCCUCCACUUCCCUUAGCACUCCCAGAGACCUAUAGAACGAAACCCUAGCCUCCUUUGUGUCCUUGUGGGUGAUUGUUAGCACUUUGAAGGUGGUUUGGGGCUUGGGAGAAGAAGGAGAAGAUUGAAGAGUGCAAGAAGGGAAGAAGAUCCGGAAUCUACUAUGUGAAGGGCUUCUAUUAAGGUAGAAAAGACCUAACUUGAUCUUUAGCUCGUUAGUCCCUUUUUGUCCCUAAGAAAAGAAGUUUUAAGCCCUAAGAACUUAAAUCUAUAUGUGUUUAUGGCUAAUGUUCUGCAAGGACUUCGGAUUUGGACCUUUUGGACUUCAUAGUAGCAUAAAGUCUCUGUGGUUGAGGUAGUGGAAGUCCCCAGUGAUUAUAGGACCUCUUGUAUAACUUCGAAGUGCAUGUUUGAGCUCAUAGGGCCAUGCAUACACGUAAAAUUUACAACUUUACGUGGUAAAUGAGCCCUAGGACCAUGGAUCUGUGGUCUGGAAGUGUUGCAUGUCCCAGAUCUGGCCUACUCAGGAAAUGGGUCGAAGGACUCGGCGAGGCCCAAAGUGGAACUCGGCGAGUUCUAUGAAGAUGGUCGUCGACUCGGCGAGUUGGAUGAACAAACUCGGCGAGUCCUAUGAAGAUUGCCUGGAACUCGCCGAGUAGUUCUUCAAACUCGGCGAGUAAUAUGAACAUCCACAGAACACGAGGGGUUUAAGCAUCGAAGGCUGAACCCUUCGUACCUGUGCACAGAAUUAACUGUAUAACGUAGUCCCGAAACCCCCAAACUCUCGAACGGGGCGUUUUGGUGUGGAUUGGAAGCAAGCAGGGGAUCUGCUCGAGGAACUCGGCGAGUUGCUCGCAGGACUCGGUGAGUUGGGACUCGAGUAGGCCCCAAGGUCCCGGGUAGCGAGUCAUGGGUGACUCAGUGAGUGAAAAGAGGGACCUGGUGAGUGGGACCGGAUCAAUGAGGGAUGGACUCGGCGAGUUGCUCGCAGGACUCGGCGAGUCCAGUCAAUUGGGAGUUGACUUUGACCUGGUUUUGACUUGGUAAGGGGUAAAAGGGUCAUUUUACCCUAAGAACAUCUAGCGGUGUUUGACUGAUCGUUUUGUGGAAAUUAUAGUCGGGGGACGUUAGCAGCAGCAGCAGUAGAUAGUCAAUUCCCACACAGACCAGCAGCCUAUUCGAGGUGAGUUACCCUCGAGUAGCGGUGGGUCUACGGCCACAAUGCCGGCCCACCAAUAGGAGUUGUAUGUAGAUGAUUGUCUCUGUGAUGUUCAUCUAGGGAUUACUACUACCUGUGUUGCGUUUAUAUGCUAGUAUGAUAUGAUGCUAUGUGACAGUAGGGGGAGAUAGUCCCCGAGAUAUCCGGUCGGUAGGGCCGAAGGGGUAGUCAUACCCAGCCAUGUUAGAUAGAUACUGAUAUUGUGAUACAUGUUAUGUGGUAGUAGUAGAGGGGAGAAGUAGUUCUCCAGUAUCCGGUCGAGAGGACCGAAUGGGAGGCCAGCACCUAGAUAUGCUAGGCAAAAUCCGGUCAAGAGGACCGAAAGGGAGGCCAACACCCGGAUAUGCUAGGCAAUGUCCGGUCGAGAGGGCCGAAGGGGUAGGUCGGGCACCCAGAUAUGCCUGACAAUAUGUGUAUGUUAUGUGAUUAUAUGGUAUGUGGUACAGUGGGGGAACUCACUAAGCUUUGUGCUUACAGUUUGCAGUUUUGGUUUUAGGUACCUCUUCGUCGAAGGGGAAAGAGCCGGCGCGGUAGCGGCACAUCAUGCACACACACCGUUUCCGCACUUACGAGAUUCUCUGGGAUUUAUACUCUGAUAUUUUGAUGGUUGUAUGAUUUGACUUUUAGACAUGGUUUACAUUUUGAUAUGGUUGAUUAAACAAUGUUUUUAAUCAUCAAUAUUUUCUAAAGUAAUGUUUUUAAAACGAAAUUUUUGGACGUGAAAUUUGGGUCGUUACAAGUUGGUAUCAGAGCCCUGGUUUGAGGGAUUCGGACUCACCUUCGGGGGUGUCUGAACUCAAAUCGAGUGAUUAAAAGAAUUUCUAAAAGAAAAUGUUUUCUAAAAUUGUGAAAAGAGUUUAAGAAAGAACGAAGUGUGUGAUGUGCGCGACCGGCCGAGCUCAAGUAAGUAUUCCCCAAAGUACCCAUACAAGUUUAUGUUAUGUUUAUCAGCUUUUGUAGAACGGCAUGCUAGAAUAGGACUAAGGAUCUAGGAGUGAUGCCUUAUGUGCCUGCUUUAUGUGUUACAGCUAUAUGAGAAUUGCAUGCUAGUAUCGAGUAGACAACAGUAGGGUAGCCUGUUAGGGUUGUGCCCGAUAGUGUGGGUUAGCACUGUGUGCUAGAUCAGUUUCCCCCAUGAGAGCGGAGUUGCUUGAGGUUGUUUCCCUUGUCUGAAUGUUUCUUGCUUCGUGCUAUGUGGGACUCAGAAUAAUGGGAAUUAGCCAUUAGACGAAUACAUCAUGUCACAUGUGAUCAGAGUUGAAUAAUCUUAGAGUGUCGGAUUUGAUCCUACUGCGCAGCUCUUAUUUGAGUCCAACCGUUGUAGGGACGAGUCGGGUACUCGAAGGAUUAUCUGAGUCCCGUCGCAUGUGAUGGUAUUCGGGUGAUGGCUAAUUGGCAUUACAAGGAGGUCUGCAGCAGCUGAGGACUGGAUCGAGUAGAGUCGGAGAUUUCCUAGGGCGAGCCUGGGAUGAGUAUAGAAGUGAUCAACAAUAGGGAAAGGGAUCUAGUGGAGUCGAGGCGGUCCUUGAAGAAGGUACAGAUAGAUGUGGAAGGUAGUAUGGGCCCGUACUACUGAAAGCAGAGGAUCCGUACCCGAACCAAGGAAGGCCAAGACAAGACCGGGGAACUUGUAAGUAGUUGUGAUCCCUCAGGAAGUAUCAGUAUCUCUAAUUAUUGUUGUGAUGUAUUGCAGAAUGGUGGUACUUCGAUCGAGGCCGGUAGAUGGCGGUUCAGG
rnacentral:lncRNA from 1 species